GUGGGUGUAGCUCAGCUGGUUAGAGCACCUGGUUGUGGCCCAGGAGGCCGUGGGUUCAAAUCCCAUCACUCACCCCA
rnacentral:tRNA from 1 species